rnacentral:rRNA from 1 species
AUUGAACGCUGGCGGCAGGCUUAACACAUGCAAGUCGAGCGGAGACUUCGGUCUUAGCGGCGAACGGGUGAGUAAUACCUAGGAAUCUGCCUAUUAGUGGGGAUAACGAAUCGAAAGGUUCGCUAAUACCGCAUACGUCCUACGGGAGAAAGGGGGGGAUCUUCGGACCUCUCGCUAAUAGAUGAGCCUAGGCCGGAUUAGCUAGUUGGUAGGGUAAAGGCCUACCAAGGCGACGAUCUGCAGCUGGUCUGAGAGGAUGGCCAGCCACACUGGAACUGAGGACACGGUCCAGACUCCUACGGGAGGCAGCAGUGGGGAAUAUUGGACAAUGGGGGCAACCCUGAUCCAGCCAUGCCGCGUGUGUGAAGAAGGCCUCGGUUG